rnacentral:lncRNA from 1 species
GGACUACACAGAGAAACUGUAUCUCAAAAAAAAAAAAAACCCCAAACAUUUAAAUAAAUAAAUAACCCUAGCACUCCAGAGGCAAGCAGAUCUCUCUGUGAGUUAUAGGCCAACCUGGUCUAUAUAGUGAGUUCCAGGUCAGGUAGUAGGGUGGGGCAUGAACUAGUGGGAUGUUCCUCCACAUAAAGGAAUGGCUUAGUGGUACAUAGACCAACCGGCUCUCCUGGUCUUUUCACAGUUGCUCCAGAUUUGAGCAUGCACCAAUGUGUCUUUAAGUUGGAUGUUGACCGUGCUCCCAGAACACCAGCUAGCUCUCAAGCCACCACAGCUGUCCAUUAUAGUGGGAGUAUCCUACUCAGGAAAUCUGGGCAGCUCUGGGAGUUGAGCAUUGACAGUCGAACUUCCUGCCAGCUGGCCAAGGUCCCUAUGUCACUCAGGCAUGGCAUCAAGUAGGUUUUGCCACUCUCUGAACCCACCAAACAGGGGCAAAGGUUGGGGCCCCAGAAAGCCAAGUUAUGAAGCCUGACUUAUAAACCUAGUGGAGAGGUCAGCUGUGAUGGCUCAUACCUUUAAUCCCAGAAUUUGGGAGGCAGAGGCAGCAAGGCCAGCUAGACUCUAUGAGUCUGAGAGCAGCCUGGUGUACAGAGCAAGAUCCAGGAUAUCCAAGGCCACACAAAGAAACCAUGUCUCUAAAAAACCAAAGUAAAGAAAUACAUUAAAAAGUCAAUGGGGACGGGUGUGGUGGCACACACAUUUAAUCCCAGCACUCCGGAGGCAAAGGCAGGCGGAUUUCUGGAGUUCGAGGUCAGCCUGGUCUACAAAGUGAGUUCCAGGACAGCCAGGGCUAUACAGAGAAACCCUGUCUCGAAAAAACAAAACAAAACAAAAAACAAACAAACAAACAAAAGUCAAUGGGAAGUAGGUUAGGUGGUCUCGUCCUGUCUCUCCCCAUCUUAAACCACAAAAUUAGGUUUAGUGCUUUCUCUGUGCCCACCCCCCAGUCAGUGUUUGGUCCUUUCCAGUUCCCCCAACUGAGCUACUGCCCGGGGCUAGGUUCUAUGCCCAGGAACCCCCUGGCAAGGGCUGUUCUGGCCCCUAGAAGUAAACUGCAGAGACCUAGAAGGUGCCCCACAGCUGCUGCCAACACUGCCAACGUUUACGCGUAAGGAAGAAAGGGUCCUCGCAGUGAGUGAGUGAGCGCUGAAAAAUGAAUGCUGCCUUGUCCCUGCAGGCUCCCUGAAAGCUCUGUGUGUGUGUGUGUGUGUGUGUGUGUGUGUGUGUGUGUGUGUGUGUGUAAGUAAAUAAUUUAAUGGGAAACUCCGGAAGGAAGGCAGCCUGAGGGAGACUGGCCUCACCCAACAGAAGGCAGCAUAUUUAACAUUUCCUUAAACAGUAGCUGGGAGUGGGGUGCCUCAAAGGCAACCCUGAGAAAUAAACCAUUGCUCUGGGCUCUGCCUCUGGGGGCUGCAUGUGGCUGGAUGAGGAUGAUUUCCUCUGGGAAUAGUCGGCCAGGUCACCCUCAAGAUCCCUGCUGUGGCAACUUAGAGAUCUGAUCUGGAGUGGCCAGCUUGAGAGCAGUCAACCGUCUGCCCUGAGGCUGCUAGCCAGUGACACAAACAUUUCCUUUUGUGGAGCCUCAGAGGGCUGGGGCUGCAGCCAAGGGUCUGAGAAAGGCUAUAAGCACAUACCCUGGAUGGUUGUAGUGACCUUGGCCUACAGAAGCAGAGGCCCCACCCAUCAGGCCCUCACCCUCUGUGCAGAUAAAGGCCUUCCUUGCUGGUUUCUUAAAGCCCUCACAGGUGGCUUCAGGAGGAAGUGGUCACUGCUUAGCCAGGCUCUCAAACCAACUUCUCCCUGUGUUGGUGGGUGUGUUCCUGAGACUGUGGGUCAGCCAGACACCACAGGUCUUGUCAGAGGGUCAGGGUGGAGAAUGGGCUGUUAGGCUCUCAGGCCUGCGGCACCAGGCACAGAACAGAACCUCCUUUUUAAGAUCCUCAGAAGCUACUUUUGGCUACUGGGGAUACAAGGUGACUCUUGGGCAGGCACCCCUGAGAUGGGAAGCGGGGGUGGGGCACGCUGCGUGGAUGGAGAUGUGGUUGUUUCUGUUCAAGUCUGUUGCAGCUUCAGCCCUCGGCUGCUUUUCACACCAGAGGCCAAAGCUAGCAGGACUUCUAUCCCACAGCAAGGGAUUGUCCACUGCAGGUUCUCUGUGCCUGUUCUGGAUAUAGGACAGUGCCCCCAGGCAGCCCAGAGCCUAACACUGGCCUGUCACUCGGAUCUUCCUCUAUAUUCUAUCUUAGUUCCUGCUUUUGCCCUCCCCAACCAGUUGCCCAAGGCCAGUGUCUCUCUGGCCAGUAUGGUAUCUCAGCAGACUUGAAUGUUCCAUUUCAUAAUUUACUGAAGGAUUUUUUUUUUUUGACCUAGUCUGAAACUAUUUAGACCAAGCUGUCCUUGAACGCAACAGAGAUCCACCUCCUCCCUUACCCUCAGAGCUGGGACGAAAGUCAUUCCCAACCACACCCUGCUUUUAAAUUUUCUAUUGCUAAUUUGAGCCUGGGGGUCCCCUAUGUCCCAGACUGACUUGGCCUCCAAUCGCUGUAUAGUUGAGGAUAAGAUUGAACUUACAAUUCUCCUGCAUCCACCUCU